UAGGGAAUCUUCGGCAAUGGACGAAAGUCUGACCGAGCAACGCCGCGUGAGUGAAGAAGGUUUUCGGAUCGUAAAACUCUGUUGUUAGAGAAGAACAAGGACGUUAGUAACUGAACGUCCCCUGACGGUAUCUAACCAGAAAGCCACGGCUAACUACGUGCCAGCAGCCGCGGUAAUACGUAGGUGGCAAGCGUUGUCCGGAUUUAUUGGGCGUAAAGCGAGCGCAGGCGGUCUCUUAAGUCUGAUGUGAAAGCCCCCGGCUCAACCGGGGAGGGUCAUUUGAAACUGGGAGACUUGAGUGCAGAAGAGGAGAGUGGAAGUCCAUGUGUAGCGGUGAGAUGCGUAGAUAUAUGGAGGAACACCAGUGGCGAAGGCGGCUCUCUGGUCUGUAACUGACGCUGAGGCUCGAAAGCGUGGGGAGCAAACAGG
rnacentral:rRNA from 1 species